CGGCUCAGUAACACGUGGAUAACCUACCCUCAGAUCUGGGAUAACUCCGGGAAACUGGAGAUAAUACCGGAUAAUCCGUGAACGCUGGAAUGCCUUACGGUUGAAAGCUUUAGCGUCUGAGGAUGGGUCUGCGGCCGAUUAGGUAGUUGCUGGGGUAACGUCCCAACAAGCCGAUAAUCGGUACGGGUUGUGAGAGCAAGAGCCCGGAGAUGGAUUCUGAGACACGAAUCCAGGUCCUACGGGGCGCAGCAGGCGCGAAAACUUUACACUGCGCGAAAGCGCGAUAAGGGGACCUCGAGUGCGUGCGCAAAGCGUACGCUUUUCAGAUGCCUAAAAAGCAUCUGGAAUAAGGGCCGGGCAAGACCGGUGCCAGCCGCCGCGGUAACACCGGCGGCUCAAGUGGUGGCCGCUAUUAUUGGGCUUAAAGGGUCCGUAGCCGGACCAGUUAGUCCCUUGGGAAAUCUUACGGCUUAACCGUAAGGCUGCCAAUGGAUACUGCUGGUCUUGGGACCGGGAGAGGCAAGAGGUACCUCAGGGGUAGGAGUGAAAUCCUGUAAUCCUUGAGGGACCGCCAGUGGCGAAGGCGUCUUGCUAGAACGGGUCCGACGGUGAGGGACGAAAGCUAGGGGCACGAACCGGAUUAGAUACCCGGGGUAGUCCUAGCCGUAAACGAUGCGAGCUAGGUGUCACGUGGAUU
rnacentral:rRNA from 1 species